rnacentral:rRNA from 1 species
AUUGAACGCUGGCGGCAGGCCUAACACAUGCAAGUCGAACGGUAACAGGAAGCAGCUUGCUGCUUUGCUGACGAGUGGCGGACGGGUGAGUAAUGUCUGGGAAACUGCCUGAUGGAGGGGGAUAACUACUGGAAACGGUAGCUACUACCGCAUAACGUCGCAAGACCAAAGAGGGGGACCUUAGGGCCUCUUGCCAUCGGAUGUGCCCAGAUGGGAUUAGCUAGUAGGUGGGGUAACGGCUCACCUAGGCGACGAUCCCUAGCUGGUCUGAGAGGAUGACCAGCCACACUGGAACUGAGACACGGUCCAGACUCCUACGGGAGGCAGCAGUGGGGAAUAUUGCACAAUGGGCGCAAGCCUGAUGCAGCCAUGCCGCGUGUAUGAAGAAGGCCUUCGGGUUGUAAAGUACUUUCAGCGGGGAGGAAGGGAGUAAAGUUAAUACCUUUGCUCAUUGACGUUACCCGCAGAAGAAGCACCGGCUAACUCCGUG